ACGGACGUGCACGUGGUUUAUGACACCUUCGUGAAGCCUGACAACGAGAUCGUGGACUACAACACCAGGUUUUCGGGGGUGACGGAGGCUGACCUUGCCGACACAAGUGUCACGCUGCGUGACGUCCAGGCCGUUCUGCUGAGCAUGUUCAGCGCUGACACCAUCCUCAUCGGACACAGCCUGGAGAGCGACCUCCUGGCCCUGAAGGUGCCCUGCCGGCCCGGGUCCCGCGCGGUUCUCCAGCAGGACCUGCGCAGGCCCCACGUGCGCUGAUCUCUGCCGCUGCCCACAGGUCAUCCACAGCACCGUGGUGGACACGUCUGUGCUCUUCCCCCACCGCCUGGGCCUCCCCUACAAGCGGUCCCUGCGGAACCUCAUGGCCGACUACCUCAGACAGAUCAUCCAGGACAAUGGUGAGUGCCGGUGCCUGCCCUGGGGCCGUCCCUGCGCAGGGGCCGGGUGCUCACCGCAUCUGCCCCGCAGUGGAUGGGCACAGCUCCAGCGAGGACGCCGGCGCCUGCAUGCACCUGGUGAUCUGGAAGGU
rnacentral:lncRNA from 1 species